CCCGCGGCUUCCGGCGCGGCUCCGGAAAGGUAGAAGCGCGCGCAAUCAUGGACCGUAACCCGUCGCCGCCGCCCACUAGUCGGGAAGAUGAGAAUGCUGAAGAGGCCGGGGGAGACUGCAUUGGGGGCACGGUCUACAGCAAGCACUGGCUCUUCGGAGUCCUUUCGGGCCUCAUCCAGAUCGUUACAUCUGAAAACACCAAAUCCAACCCAGAUGAUGAGGAGCAGCAGAUGGAGCUUGAUGAAGAAAUGGAGAAUGAAAUUUGCAAAGUGUGGGAUAUGUCAAUGGAUGAGGAUGUGGCUUUAUUUCUCCAAGAAUUUAAUGCCCCUGACAUAUUUAUGGGCAUACUGGCCAAAUCCAAGUGUCCUCGAUUAAGAGAAAUCUGUGUGGGAAUUUUAGGGAAUAUGGCCUGUUUCCAGGAGAUAUGUGUGUCCAUCAGCAGUGAUAAAAAUCUUGGGCAGGUGUUACUGCACUGUUUAUAUGAUUCAGAUCCACCUACUCUCCUGGAGACAAGCAGGUUGUUGCUUACUUGCCUUUCCCAGACAGAAGUGGCCAGUGUCUGGGUUGAAAGGAUCCGGGAAUAUCCAGCUAUUUAUGAUAGCAUUUGUUUCAUCAUGUCAAGUUCAACAAAUGUUGAUUUGCUGGUGAAGGUGGGAGAGGUUGUGGAUAAGCUCUUUGAUUUGGACGAGAAACUAAUGCUGGAUUGGAUUAGAAGUGGGGCUGCUGCACCUCUGGACCAACCACAGGAAGAUUCCGAAGAGCAGCCAGUGUUUAAGAUUGUGCCCUGUGUACUUGAAGCUGCCAAACAAGUACGUUCUGAAAACCCAGAAGGCCUUGAUGUUUACAUGCACAUUUUACAGCUACUUACCACAGUGGAUGAUGGAAUUCAAGCAAUUGUACAGUGUCCUGAUACUGGGAAAGACACUUGGAAUUUACUUUUUGAUCUGGUCUGCAAUGAAUUCUGCCAAUCUGAUGACCCACCCAUCAUCCUACAAGAACAGAAAACAGUGUUGGCCUCUGUUUUUUCAGUUUUGUCUGCCAUCUAUGCGUCACAGGCUGAACAGGAAUAUCUAAAAACAGAAAAAGUAGAUCUUCCUCUGAUUGACAGCCUAAUUCGGGUGUUAGAAAAUGUGGAACAUUGUCAGAAGAAACCAGAAAACUCAACAGAAUCUAACACAGAAGAAACUCAAAAGCCUGAUUUAACCCAAGAUGACUUCCACUUGAAAAUCUUAAAGGAUAUUUCUUGUGAAUUUCUUUCUAAUAUUUUGCAGGCAUUGACAAAGGAGACUGUGACUCAGGGACUAAAGGAGGGCCAGUUAAGCAAACAGAAAUGUUCCUGUGCAUUUCAAAACCUUCUUCCUUUCUAUAAUCCUGUGGUGGAAGACUUCAUUAAGAUCCUGCAUGAAGUGGAUAAGGCUGUUGCUAGCGACCUGGAGGAAAGCUUCCCGAGUUUGAAGGUUCAAACUUAACAACUGAGUUGCAAUUUCUUCUGUCCAAGAAAUAAACUGCUCUUUUGGAAGUUGAAGUUGGUGUAUAGGAAAUAUUAACUGAAACCUCCCCAGAUGUAUCUCGCUUUGCCAUUUGAAUCUGGAGUGUCACUUUUAUCAUCUCCCGCCCCCUUUUCCAUCGGUCACGUGUCACUCAUCUUUAGUUGCAAGCAAACAUGCAGACUUGUCAUUGAGAUUUUUUUAGACUGUUUCAGGAGUUGGUGAACAUUUUCUUGAGAACUCUUAAUCUGGUUAUUAUAGGAGCUUUAUUUUGGUUUUUGAGACAGUCUUGCUGUGUAGCCAGACUGACAUAGGAUUUGUGUAAUCUAGGCUGGCUCAAAGGCCUGAUCUUCCUGCCUCCUACCUCUCCCCCAGGAAUCAGUUUCUGAAGGGACUCAGCAAGGCGAUGUUUGAUGUUACAAUGAAUCGACCAGGUUUCUUGAGUGAAAAGGCUCCACAACCUGAAAAUUCUACAGUCACGUUUACCUUGCAUAAAACUAAGUGGAAAUGUGCCAGACUCCUUAUUUCACAGCAAACCUGAUUGAUUUGUACCAGAACAUCCAGCGCUGUUUGCUAUUAUGUGCUCCUGCCGCCUCUAAAUACCUUUCCUUGUGAAAUGAUCUUAAAUGAACUUUUAAACACCAGCUACCUGUGUUCCAUUGCCAAGGCUACAGCAUGUAUUUGUGAAAACUUUUCUGCUUGCUGGGACAACCCGUGAAUUAUGUGCUAACCUUGUAUCAAUACCGGGCUUGUUGACUUGGAGGCUGCUUAGAAGCAGAAGCCUUACCUGACCAUCUGCCAAGUGCUGCCUUUGGAAAUGCUUCUCUGUUACUGUAAUGAAAUCACUAAAAUCAUUUCCUGUUCCCAGUCCUUGCUUAGAUCUUCUAUUUACUGUCAAUAAGAGGAUAUUAAAACACCCAGGAAAGUCCACAUAUCCUUUUCAUCCUGGCCCACGAUGAGGCACACGGUUUUGUGUUUUAGUGAUGGAAAUAAUAAAUAAUGACGUCAAGCCUAUUGUAAUAAAAGAAGGUUGUUUAUUAAA